GGGGGAUAUUGCACAAUGGAGGAAACUCUGAUGCAGCAACGCCGCGUGAGGGAAGAAGGUCUUCGGAUUGUAAACCUCUGUCCUCGGUGACGAUAAUGACGGUAGCCGAGGAGGAAGCUCCGGCUAACUACGUGCCAGCAGCCGCGGUAAUACGUAGGGAGCAAGCGUUGUCCGGAUUUACUGGGUGUAAAGGGUGCGUAGGUGGCUCUGCAAGUCAGGUGUGAAAACUAUGGGCUUAACUCAUAGAUUGCACUUGAAACUGUGGAGCUUGAGUGAAGUAGAGGCAGGCGGAAUUCCCGGUGUAGCGGUGAAAUGCGUAGAGAUCGGGAGGAACACCAGUGGCGAAGGCGGCCUACUGGGCUUUAACUGACGCUGAAGCACGAAAGCAUGGGUAGCAAAC
rnacentral:rRNA from 1 species